rnacentral:rRNA from 1 species
GUCGGGAAUAUUGCACAAUGGAGGAAACUCUGAUGCAGUGACACCGCGUAUAGGAAGAAGGUUUUCGGAUUGUAAACUAUUUUAGACAGGGAAGAAAAAAGACAGUACCUGUAGAAUAAGCUCCGGCUAACUACGUGCCAGCAGCCGCGGUAAUACGUAGGGAGCAAGCGUUAUCCGGAAUUAUUGGGUGUAAAGGGUGCGUAGACGGGACAGCAAGUUAGUUGUGAAAGCCCUCGGCUUAACUGAGGAACUGCAACUAAAACUAUUGUUCUUGAGUGCAGGAGAGGAAAGCGGAAUUCCUAGUGUAGCGGUGAAAUGCGUAGAUAUUAGGAGGAACACCAGUGGCGAAGGCGGCUUUCUGGACUGUAACUGACGUUGAGGCACGAAAGUGUGGGGAGCAAACAGG